UACGGGGGGGGUAAGCGUUGUUCGGAAUUACUGGGCGUAAAGGGCUCGUAGGCGGCCAACUAAGUCGGACGUGAAAUCCCUCAGCUUAACUGGGGAACUGCGUCCGAUACUGGAUGGCUUGGAUUUGGGAGAGGGAUGCGGAAUCCCAGGUGUAGCGGUGAAAUGCGUAGAUAUUCGCAAGAACACCAGUGGCGAAGGCGGCUCACUGGCCCGGUACUGACGCUGAGGCACGAAAGCGUGGGGAGCAAACAGG
rnacentral:rRNA from 1 species